UCCGUAGGGCGCAAGCGUUAUCCGGAAUUAUUGGGCGUAAAGAGCUCGUAGGCGGUUUGUCGCGUCUGCCGUGAAAGUCCGGGGCUCAACUCCGGAUCUGCGGUGGGUACGGGCAGACUAGAGUGGUGUAGGGGAGACUGGAAUUCCUGGUGUAGCGGUGAAAUGCGUAGAUAUCGGGAGGAACACCAGUGGCGAAGGCGGGCACCUGGGCUAACACUGACGCUGAGGCGCGAAAGCUAGGGGAGCAAACAGG
rnacentral:rRNA from 1 species